rnacentral:rRNA from 1 species
UGAGGAAUAUUGGUCAAUGGGCGAGAGCCUGAACCAGCCAAGUAGCGUGCAGGAUGACGGCCCUAUGGGUUGUAAACUGCUUUUAUGCGGGGAUAAAGUGCGUGACGUGUCGUGCAUUGCAGGUACCGCAUGAAUAAGGACCGGCUAAUUCCGUGCCAGCAGCCGCGGUAAUACGGAAGGUCCGGGCGUUAUCCGGAUUUAUUGGGUUUAAAGGGAGCGUAGGCCGCCAGAUAAGCGUGUUGUGAAAUGUACCGGCUCAACCGGUGAAUUGCAGCGCGAACUGUUUGGCUUGAGUGCACGGUAAGCAGGCGGAAUUCAUGGUGUAGCGGUGAAAUGCUUAGAUAUCAUGAAGAUCUCCGAUUGCGAAUGCAGCUUGCUGCAGUGCGACUGACGCUGAUGCUCGAAGGUGCGGGUAUCAAACAGG